GGGUUGUGAGGUUAAGCGACUAAGCGUACACGGUGGAUGCCCUGGCAGUCAGAGGCGAUGAAGGGCGUGCUAAUCUGCGAUAAGCGCCGGUAAGGUGAUAUGAACCGUUAUAACCGGCGAUACCCGAAUGGGGAAACCCAGUGUGAUUCGUCACACUAUCAUUAACUGAAUCCAUAGGUUAAUGAGGCGAACCGGGGGAACUGAAACAUCUAAGUACCCCGAGGAAAAGAAAUCAACCGAGAUUCCCCCAGUAGCGGCGAGCGAACGGGGAGGAGCCCAGAGCCUGAAUCAGCAUGUGUGUUAGUGGAAGCGUCUGGAAAGGCGCGCGAUACAGGGUGACAGCCCCGUACACAAAAGCGCAUGUGCUGUGAGCUCGAUGAGUAGGGCGGGACACGUGGUAUCCUGUCUGAAUAUGGGGGGACCAUCCUCCAAGGCUAAAUACUCCUGACUGACCGAUAGUGAACCAGUACCGUGAGGGAAAGGCGAAAAGAACCCCGGCGAGGGGAGUGAAAAAGAACCUGAAACCGUGUACGUACAAGCAGUGGGAGCACAGGUUUACCUGUGUGACUGCGUACCUUUUGUAUAAUGGGUCAGCGACUUAUAUUCUGUAGCAAGGUUAACCGCAUAGGGGAGCCGGAGGGAAACCGAGUCUUAAUUGGGCGUUAAGUUGCAGGGUAUAGACCCGAAACCCGGUGAUCUAGCCAUGGGCAGGUUGAAGGUUGGGUAACACUAACUGGAGGACCGAACCGACUAAUGUUGAAAAAUUAGCGGAUGACCUGUGGCUGGGGGUGAAAGGCCAAUCAAACCGGGAGAUAGCUGGUUCUCCCCGAAAGCUAUUUAGGUAGCGCCUCGUGAAUUCAUCUCCGGGGGUAGAGCACUGUUUCGGCUAGGGGGCCAUCCCGGCUUACCAACCCGAUGCAAACUGCGAAUACCGGAGAAUGUUAUCACGGGAGACACACGGCGGGUGCUAACGUCCGUCGUGAAGAGGGAAACAACCCAGACCGCCAGCUAAGGUCCCAAAGUCAUGGUUAAGUGGGAAACGAUGUGGGAAGGCCCAGACAGCCAGGAUGUUGGCUUAGAAGCAGCCAUCAUUUAAAGAAAGCGUAAUAGCUCACUGGUCGAGUCGGCCUGCGCGGAAGAUGUAACGGGGCUAAACCAUGCACCGAAGCUGCGGCAGCGAACGUAUCACUUAAAGCGAUUCAGCGGGUUACGAUUGACGGAGCGAAGCGACGUCAAAGCGUAUACAAAGUCGAGUCGGUUUAAGGAUACGUUCGUUGGGUAGGGGAGCGUUCUGUAAGCCUGUGAAGGUGGCCUGUGAGGGUUGCUGGAGGUAUCAGAAGUGCGAAUGCUGACAUAAGUAACGAUAAAGCGGGUGAAAAGCCCGCUCGCCGGAAGACCAAGGGUUCCUGUCCAACGUUAAUCGGGGCAGGGUGAGUCGACCCCUAAGGCGAGGCCGAAAGGCGUAGUCGAUGGGAAACGGGUUAAUAUUCCCGUACUUGGUGUUACUGCGAAGGGGGGACGGAGAAGGCUAUGUUGGCCGGGCGACGGUUGUCCCGGUUUAAGCGUGUAGGUGUGUGUUCCAGGUAAAUCCGGUUCACUUUAACACUGAGGCGUGAUGACGAGGCACUACGGUGCUGAAGCAACAAAUGCCCUGCUUCCAGGAAAAGCCUCUAAGCAUCAGGUAACAUCAAAUCGUACCCCAAACCGACACAGGUGGUCAGGUAGAGAAUACCAAGGCGCUUGAGAGAACUCGGGUGAAGGAACUAGGCAAAAUGGUGCCGUAACUUCGGGAGAAGGCACGCUGACAUGUAGGUGAAGUGAUUUACUCAUGGAGCUGAAGUCAGUCGAAGAUACCAGCUGGCUGCAACUGUUUAUUAAAAACACAGCACUGUGCAAACACGAAAGUGGACGUAUACGGUGUGACGCCUGCCCGGUGCCGGAAGGUUAAUUGAUGGGGUCAGCGCAAGCGAAGCUCCUGAUCGAAGCCCCGGUAAACGGCGGCCGUAACUAUAACGGUCCUAAGGUAGCGAAAUUCCUUGUCGGGUAAGUUCCGACCUGCACGAAUGGCGUAAUGAUGGCCAGGCUGUCUCCACCCGAGACUCAGUGAAAUUGAACUCGCUGUGAAGAUGCAGUGUACCCGCGGCAAGACGGAAAGACCCCGUGAACCUUUACUAUAGCUUGACACUGAACAUUGAGCCUUGAUGUGUAG
rnacentral:rRNA from 1 species